CUACGGGGCGCUCCAGUGGGGAAUAUUGGACAAUGGACCAAAAGUCUGAUCCAGCAAUUCUGUGUGCACGAUGACGGUUUUCGGAUUGUAAAGUGCUUUCAACAGGGAAGAAGUUCUGACGGUACCUGUAGAAGAAGCGACGGCUAAAUACGUGCCAGCAGCCGCGGUAAUACGUAUGUCGCAAGCGUUAUCCGGAUUUAUUGGGCAUAAAGGGCAUCUAGGCGGCUUAGUAAGUCUGAUGUGAAAAUGCGGGGCUCAACUCCGUAUUGCGUUGGAAACUACUAAGCUAGAGUAUUGGAGAGGUAGGCGGAACUUCAUGUGUAGAGGUGAAAUUCGUAGAUAUAUGUAGGAAUGCCGAUGACGAAGGUAGCUUACUGGACAAUUACUGACGCUGAAGUGCGAAAGCUAGGGGAGCAAACAGGAUUAGAUACCCUUGUAGUC
rnacentral:rRNA from 1 species